GUAUAACUUCCACGAUUAUGGUUACAACCACUCCCCCCAACUUCUUUCAACCAACUAAUAACGUGAGCUAUAAAUAGUAACUUUGAAACCUGUAAUAAAGGUCUUUGCCCCUGCGCACAAAUGACCACCCUUAUUUUCCUGCAUCUUUCUUUCUCGCAUUUACUGCUUUCCCUAGGAGUAGUUAUUGUAACUUAGAUCUUUGGA
rnacentral:lncRNA from 1 species